rnacentral:rRNA from 1 species
UACGUAGGGUGCGAGCGUUGUCCGGAAUUAUUGGGCGUAAAGAGCUUGUAGGCGGUUUGUCGCGUCUGCUGUGAAAAUCCGGGGCUCAACCCCGGACUUGCAGUGGGUACGGGCAGACUAGAGUGUGGUAGGGGAGACUGGAAUUCCUGGUGUAGCGGUGAAAUGCGCAGAUAUCAGGAGGAACACCUAUUGCGAAGGCAGCUCGCUGGGACGUUACUGACGCUGAGACGCGAAAGCCAGGGGAGCGAACGGG